GCCCCCAUUCUCUCUCCUCUACUCGUUCUCUUUCUACCCUCGUCAGACCAAAGAAACCCCAAAAUUCACAGAGCUCUCCUAUGAAUGCAAAAGAUUGAUACUAGACUGUUGCCGGUCAUUCCUCUUCUCCAUUACCUCGUUCCCCAUCACUCUUGAAUUCUUACCUCAAAUGAGAAAAACAUGAGAAAAUAUAUAUAUAUUUUUUCUCCCAAUCAGAUAUUGGAAAUCAAGUAACCAUUUAAGAUUUCAGAGUGAAAAUUUUAGUGGAAAUCAAGUAACCAUUCAAGAUUUCAGAGUGAAAAUUUUAGUGGCAACCCAUAAAAAAAAAAUAAAUAAAUAAAUAAAAAAUCAACAAUUUCAAGCAGGUUGGGAAUUCACCAUUAAAUCAAGAAAGCCCCAGUACAAGCAAAACAGAAACAUAUUUGUACAAACACCAAUUAUAUAUAUAUCACACACAUAAUAACUACAGGAUAUGGGUAUUAAAAAAAGCCAAAAAAUCUUUAAUACAUAUGUCUGAUCCAGAUCCUUGAUAAUUUGAAUUGGACUAGGGCUUGAUUCGGAGAGAGAGAUUUCGUGUCCACCCACCACCUAAAACGAUAUAUAUAUAUAUAUAUAAAAGCAGCCCUACACGAAACCUGCAUAACCUAAGCAGGAAGGAAGGAUCAGGAAGAAGCCAUUAAUCGAAGGGAGGAAGGAUCAGGAGUAAUUUUGCAUCGCUAAACCUGCAUAACCUAAGCAAUUAUUAAUCCUUUGCAUCGCUAAACCUGCAUAACCUAAGCAAUUAUUAACCCUAAAAAGGAAAGCGAAGAAGCCAUUAAUCGAAGGAAGGAAGGAUCAGGAGUAAUUUUGCAUCUAUAUAUAUAUAUA